GGCCGGUUAGCUCAGCGGUUUGAGUAUGAUGCUGACAACAAUGACAACACCGAGGUCGCGGGUUCGAUUCCCGCUCGGUCC
rnacentral:tRNA from 1 species